rnacentral:RNase_P_RNA from 1 species
GAGUAGGUCGGGUGGUCGCAUGCUUAAAGCAUGAGGAAAGUCCGAGCUCCAUAAGGUAGGAUGCUGGGCAAUACCCAGUAGGGGUGACCCUAAGGAUAGUGCAACAGAAAGAUACCGCCUGAUUUCGUCAGGUAAGGGUGGAAAGGCGAGGUAAGAGCUCACCAGCAACUAGGUGACUAGUUGGCUAUGUAAACCCCAUCCGGAGCAAGACCAAGUAGGGACAAAAGGUGACAGUUGCCUGCUGUCGUCCCAAAUGGUAGGUCGCAUGAGCCUAUUGGUAACAAUAGGUCAUAGAUAGAUGACCAUCUAAGACAGAACUCGGCUUACAGAUCUACUCAUC